rnacentral:rRNA from 1 species
AAUGAACGCUAGCGGGAUGCCUUACACAUGCAAGUCGAACGGAGUGGCGAACGGGUGAGUGAUGUAUCGGAACGUACCCAGGGGCGGGGGAUAACUACGCGGAAGCGUAGCUUAUACCACAGACGAUUGGAGCGGCCGAUAGCGGAUUAGCUAGUGGGUGGGGAAACGGCUCACAAAGGCGACGAACCAUAGGUGGUUUGAGAGGACGACCGGCCACACUGGGACUGGGACACGGCCCAGACUCCUACGGGAGGCAGCAGUGGGGAAUUUUGGACAAUGGGGGAAACCCUGAUCCAGCAAUCCCGCGUGUGCGAUGAAGGCCUUCGGGUUGUAAAGCACUUUUGGCAGGAAAGCGGUACCUGCAGAAUAAGCACCGGCUAACUACGUGCCAGCCGCCGCGGUAAUAC